CAGUAGCCGCGGUAAUACGGAGGGUGCAAGCGUUAAUCGGAAUUACUGGGCGUAAAGCGCACGCAGGCGGUUUGUUAAGUCAGAUGUGAAAUCCCCGGGCUCAACCUGGGAACUGCAUUUGAAACUGGCAAGCUAGAGUCUCGUAGAGGGGGGUAGAAUUCCAGGUGUAGCGGUGAAAUGCGUAGAGAUCUGGAGGAAUACCGGUGGCGAAGGCGGCCCCCUGGACGAAGACUGACGCUCAGGUGCGAAAGCGUGGGGAGCAAACAGGAUUAGAUACCCGAGUAGUCCCUGUCUCUUAUAC
rnacentral:rRNA from 1 species